GAUUAGAUACCCGGGUAGUCCCAGCCGUAAACGAUGCGUGUUAGGUGUAUCGGUGACCACGAGUUACCGAGGUGCCGAAGGGAAACCGUGUAACGCGCCGCCUGGGAAGUACGGUCGCAAGGCUGAAACUUAAAGGAAUUGGCGGGGGAGCACCACAACGGGUGGAGCUUGCGGUUUAAUUGGAUUCAACGCCGGAAAUCUUACCGGGACCGACAGCAAUAUGAAGGCCAGGCUGAAGACUUUGCCGGAUUAGCUGAGAGGUGGUGCAUGGCCGUCGUCAGUUCGUACUGUGAAGCAUCCUGUUAAGUCAGGUAACGAGCGAGACCCA
rnacentral:rRNA from 1 species